AUCACACAUCACAUAGUUGUACAAAAAGCAGCCUAGAGAGUACAGUUCAGGCCUGUAAAUUUUGGCCCUUUCUGGCCCUAUUUAAUUGGCUGUUAAACACGUGGAAGGGCUUUAUAUCCACGUGUAUAGCAGAAAUUGCAUGGUCGUAUACUCAAAAGGCAGAGAAUUUCAAGCGACCUUACUUUCAACUCUCAAUCUCUUUCAAUUUUUCAGAUCUUUCAAGAUUGAAACAGGAAAUGUAGCUUCAGAAGAACCUAUAAAAGAGAAGUGCCAGUGCUGCAACUUUGACGAAACUCUAAACAAGGCCGUGAAGUGUAAAUUCUGUUACUGCAAUGGAACUCAAAACAAGGUCGCUGCAUUAAAUAUAGGACCUGAAGCCAAUAUUCAAACUUUUUGUGGGACACUUCAGAAGAGGAGCCUUGGAACAACAGUAAAGUUUUCUCUGUGUGACCUAUAAGUCUUGGGUUUGAGCCAUGGAAGUAGUCACCUAAUGCUUGCAUCACACCUUUUAGGGUGCUGUCCUUCCCCGGACCCUGCCAAUGUGGGAUGCUUUGUGCACUGCCCAUUUGUGGGACACUUCUGAUUCCGUGUCGAACAACAAAUUGUGGAAGAUUUCCACUCAAUGGAACAUACUUCCAAGUAAAUGAGGUUUUUGCAGAUGAAGGUUCCACUCAACAGCCAAUUGAAGUUUCAAGGGCAUGGAUAUGGAACUUGCCAAGAAAGACCCUAAACUGUGGCACCUCCAUCAGAGCAAUAUUUAAAGCGUCUUUGGAUAUUGGAACAUGGUACUUUUUAUACCGAGAGCUAAAAGGAGAUAUGGAUGAUUACGAGAUGCCGAAGAGCAACUACCUCCAGGCUCCAUCUUUUGCCAUGAGUGCAUCAGAGGAAUGAAAGCCAUUUUUGUUAUUGCAAAAGUUAUUUGUCUUUAUGGAUAGAAGUUAUUAUGUUUUUUUAAUGAUUCUCCCAGCAGAGCAGCAAAGAAGUUUUUGCCGUGGUCUUAGAAUUAUAAAAGUAUUAGCAUGUUAGAAGAUUCAACCAUUACCCUCUACAAAUUAUCGGAAUGUCAAAUAGUUGCAGAUGCCGAUUGAAAGUGGAAGUACUUCAUCAGAAGAAAAUGAUGGUAAACAAGAAGCAUUGCAGGAGGUUGACGCACAUGUGAAAGCAGUUUUUAUGAGACAUUAUCAACUUGUAUUUAAUGAGAGUUGGAGAGGCUGUUUUCAAAAGAGAGGCUGUUUCUGAGAGACUCCCGGCUCAAAAAAUGAGACAUCAAAAUAGCAAGAUACAAAGGAUAUGCAGCAAAAAUAGGAAUACACAUCAAAUCAUAGGAGACUAUGCGAUAAUUGAAUACUACCACUAAAAGGGAAAGAUGAGAAGAGGGGCUAUCCCCGUCUCCCACACAGGGUGUGACAACACACAACUACCUACUAGCCUUCUAUCUUAAUCCUCGACCUCCAUACCUUUCUAGUCAGGUCCUCACCUAUGUCCUGUCUAAUCACCUUCCCCCAUUUCUUUUUUGGCCUAUCUCUACCUCUCCUACCCCUGUAACGGCCAACCUCUCACAGCUACUCACUCACGCAUCCUCGCUCUUCUUCACAUGCCCCAACCAUCUCAGCCACGCUUCCCUCAUUUUGUUCUCCGCUGAUGCCACUCCCACCUUGUGCCGUAUAUAACUUCGUUCCUAAUCAUAUCUCUUCAGAAUGAAAGAGACUUCCGCUGGAAAAAGUUGCUCCAUGUUGUUUGCCCUAAAUUGGUCUUCCCUUGUGGAUUAGUUGUCGCUGAAAAGCGAAGACAAAAGACGCUAGGGUGAGGCUCAUCUUUUUCCAUUUCACCUUAAUCUUUCCUUCAUGUUGUUUCUCACUUCAUUUCAGUGUUAAAAGACAACAAAAAGGACUGGUAAAAAAAUUAAUUAGAGGAUUACUAAAUUUAACUAGAGAAUACAUGAACUAGAGAAAUCUAAAUAAUUUUAGCAAGUUUUAAAAGAACAAAGUAAAAAGACAAAAAAAAAAAAAAAAAAAAAAAAAGGACUAGUAAAAAAGAUAGUAAGAAAGCUAGUUUAGGAGAAAGAACGUGUGAGUGGUAAGAGGAGAACAGAGAUAUGUGAUUGAUGUCUUUUGAAGAAUGAACUAAGCCCUAUUUAUAGGCUUUAAGAGAAUGCCAAGUGGAAAGCUUAGUUGGCAAAUAGUUUUCAUACAUAAUGUCACAUUUUUAUUCACUUGCCGCUCUAAUUUAUAUUUAUGACACAUAUUCACAAUUGUCAAGUGGCAAAAUAUUUGAAAUAUUAUUACAAUCCCCACUAUUCAAAGAAUUAUAAUUGUAAGAGUAGACACAUGAAAUUGAGACAUGAUGUCGUUAAAUAGUUGUUAAGAGAUGGAAUAAUUUCCAUUAAUUAUGUGAAAUCAGAAAUGAAUAUGGCUGAUUCUCUGACUAAACUUGUGGGAAGAAAAUUAAUUCUUCAAACUUCAAGAUAGAUGGGGUUAAGGCCGAUAUGAUUGUCAAUAGAGAUAGUAAUCCAACUUAUGUGAUUGGAGAUCCCAUGAAGUAGAUGGGUAAUAGCAAGUCGAGAUUGUGCAUAGCAAGUCGAGAUUGGCACUGCGCACUAAAAGAGAGUGCUUGAACUGCUACUAAUUGUGAGAAUGAGUUAUUUAAUUCAUAUUCCUUAAGGAUAAUGUAUUUAAAUUCACCUAUAUGAGAAAUGGAGUGGGGCCGCUCCUAUGAGAUGUUGGUCUAGUCUCUUGAGCUCUCAUGAAUAACCAGACAUGUGCAUGACCUAUUGGCACAAAACCGUGUUGAAUAACAAAAUUAUGGAGGUUAAGAUGUGACUGAUAAAGUCUCUGGCUUACCAUAAGAAUUAUUGGUCUUUGGCUUACCAUAAGAAUUAUUGGUUUAUAGAAUUUAUAUUUCACCAAUAAUUCUGUAAGCUAAAUUUUAUUAGUCUAGGUUUAA